UCAAAAACGCUAAGUUAAGUAACAGGAUCCA
rnacentral:piRNA from 1 species